AGUCUAUAUUUCCACUGCAACAACCUGAAGAUAACCAAACCCACACGUUUAGAUUCCUUUUAUAAAACAGAGACAAAGCUGUUUGCUCCAGUUGUACUAUGCAGAAAUACUUCAAACCAGCGUGUGACUGCCUUCACCGUUCAACAUCAUUUCUAGGGGGAGUUACGGUGACUUGGGAACAAUGUGUGGAUCUGGUCAGUGAAGCGACCUCCUAGUGUGAGUCAGGAGCUUUGAAGAACAGGUGACCUUCCACAACGUUGAAGCCAUUGAAACCACCCACCUGGUCUGCUGCCUGAAUCCCCAGCAGGAGCUCCAGUUUUUGCGGCGUUCUUCUUCUUCCUCGGGAGGAGCAGCGGAGAGUAGCCAGGAGUCGCUCCACCCGGGCAUGAACACGUUGCUUAUCCUCGUCAUCACCAUGGUUUUCGCGCUUGCGGUUGGCUCCUCGAUGUCUUUGGUUUCAGGCUGAAUACCCGACAUCUUCCAUGAACCCUCCCAGUCCGAAGGCUCUUCCUGUUUGACAAUCACAAGGCACAUUUGUAAUAUCUUAACGGGUGUUCUGGUUGCUCAGUGAUUAUAAAUCAUGGACAUCUGACAUUUUAAAGGCAAAAAGAUUCCAAUCCCCACCUGCUCCUCUAGUUGUUGUACUUGGUCAAACUUGUUGCUGCAGAUUUGUUGAUAUUCAGGCCAGAUACGAUCCCAAUUCUUCUUUUCCUGUCUGAAGGCAAAGUUCAUCAUCUUCCAAGUACCGGCCCAGACAGGAAGAGAAAACACUUCUAUCUCAGUUUGGCAAUUCAUCAUUCUUUCAAAUAAAAUGUUCGACUGGGAUUGUUUCUCCUCCGAGCGCUCCAGCUGGGCAGGACUCCUCACCUGAAUAAUUGGAACAAUGAAGACACAAGAUGAUUGACCAAGUGUUUUGCACCUAUUGACCAGUUGUCUCCACUCUUUAAUCUGGGAAGGUCAUGAAUGAAUGAGACAGUGUGUGAGACAGAGGUGGAAUGAUUCAUUGACAGAUGGACGAGACAAACGCACCAUGUGAUCAGUUUUGAACAAAUGUCUCAACACUUGAUUGAGGCGGUUUGAGGAAAAGGGCUUUGUUCUGACAUGGCGAACAUUUAGUCUUUGCCGUUUUUGAUGUCUGCGUCUUCACUGAUAUAUAUAUUAUGCCUCGUUACGUUAACGCAUUAUUAUUGUGUUAACGCAUUCAUUCAUUAAAGCAGACAAUUAUUUGAUUGCAUGUUAACGCAGUUUUAAAAGAAUAAUUCUUUUGAAAGUCUGGUGCUCACAGGCGCUGAAUACACAUACAGACAAACUAUGGGUUGCAGAACGUCAGUAUGGGCUUGGCCUUCAUCAACCAAUGAGAGCAUUUGUGGGUGGGGCCUAAGAAUGCUGCAGCAUGGAACAGAAAAAUGGAGAAGGCUAGCAAACUCUUAUUAUUUUCUUAUUUCGACUGAGAUUCUACAAAGGAAAUCCAGUAAAAAGAUGAACUUCACAGACUAAAGGGUGUCUGCGCUGUAAGUACCAGUACUUAGUGCUGGACCACUUCAUUCCAACAGGGAACACACUUAGAUACAUAUUUUAUUGCUUGAUAGAUUUUCGAAAGAUAGAUAGAUAGAGAAAACAGAUAUAUGAAUAUUAACUUACUUGUUAUGAUAAAUAACAACAAUCUAAAUAAAACAUGGCUACCCUGACACUGGCAAAUAGCUUUGGUUUUAUAUUUAAUUACAUACAUGUUUUUAUUAAAGUAAAUAGGUAGUCAAAUUUAUUCAUAGAAUCCUUUUCACAGACUUGGAUGACAAAGUGCUUCAAAGAAUUCAACGAGAAGAGAAAAACACAACGUGACCGGCCAAUGAAUAUCACACACACACAAGAGAAUGCACAAUGUGAAACAGAGAUUAAAGCAGGAAUAAGACCUGGGUUUUACAAAAACGGCAGUUUAAAAAGGUGCAUUUUGAGCUGCUGAGUGAACACGUAGGGACGCAGGCAGAGCGUUCUACAAUGGCCACAAACUGCUGCGACAUCGUCUUUAACGGGACAAACAAACCGUGUGUUCUUUUCCUUUUGUCUGCAACCAAGCAGACAAAUUUCUAUUAUUCGGACCAAUCUGACGAAUCCGGGUAGAAUGAGAACAAGUGCAGCAAUUAUUUAGAAACAAAGUCUUUCUGCAUGAUGCAUUCCCUACACCUUUUAGCAGCAGCCAUGAGUCACACACCUUUUGCAUAAUAUGACCAACACUUGAACAAUGUUCUGGGAUCUAAGUGUCUUUUAGUACGGAAUCAGUGUGUCAGUUCUAGUACCUGUUUCCAGGAGUCACGCCAUUCAUCAGCAGGAGACGCCCAUUGGUCCUCCAGUCCGUAUUCCUUUGGUUUGUAUUCCCUGUUGUUAGUCAGUUCUAUGGUUGUGAACCCUGGGAUUUGGGUUUUUAUCUCUUUGGCCUUCAGGUAGAGAUACUUUGGUGGCUUCAGGCUCAUCCAGGAGUCUUUCCAGCAGAGCUUAAAUACAUCCACUUCAACUUUACGUUUUGGCCUAUGAAGUUUGGGCGAAGCUGCUUUCUUGGGGGGAGGAGGGGGAGCGGGCUCAUGUCUGGGUUUGGGAGGAGGGGGGACUACUUUGAAUUUAAUUUUUGGCUUGUUUUCCUCUUCAUCUGCUCCGCUGGUGAGCUUCUUGAAGUCUCCAUUGGAAACAAGUGACCAGUGAUAAUUCCACUUUUGAGAAAGAUCUACACAUUAAAACAAACAAAAGAGAAACAAAUGGAAUCAACUCAUAUAUUGUCAUAAUUAGAGAUCACAUAGCUCUGGCAAAUACAGACAUGUGUUGCAAGCUGCGCUGCCAGUGUGAAUAAUACGGCGACCCCUGAUUGCCAGUGGCUAUUUUGCACACGACCUGCCGCCAUUGUGCCAAGUUAUUAACCGUGUU
ensembl:lncRNA